GACGAACGCUGGCGGCGCGCCUAACACAUGCAAGUCGAACGAAGCAAUUAAGAUGAAGUUUUCGGAUGGAAUCUUGAUUGACUGAGUGGCGGACGGGUGAGUAACGCGUGGAUAACCUGCCUCACACUGGGGGAUAACAGUUAGAAAUGACUGCUAAUACCGCAUAAGCGCACAGUGCCGCAUGGCAGUGUGUGAAAAACUCCGGUGGUGUGGGAUGGAUCCGCGUCUGAUUAGCCAGUUGGCGGGGUAACGGCCCACCAAGGCAACGAUCGGUAGCCGGACUGAGAGGUUGAACGGCCACAUUGGGACUGAGACACGGCCCAG
rnacentral:rRNA from 1 species